rnacentral:rRNA from 1 species
GACGAACGCUGGCGGCGUGCUUAACACAUGCAAGUCGAACGGUAAGGCCCUGCUUUUGUUGGGUGCUCGAGUGGCGAACGGGUGAGUAACACGUGAGUAUCCUGCCCUUGACUUUGGGAUAACUUCAGGAAACUGGGUCUAAUACCCGAUAUGAGCUCCUUUUUCAUGGUGGGAGUAGGUAAGUUUUGGCGGUUGGGGAUGGACUCGAGGCCUAUCAGCGUGUUGGUGGGGUAGUGGCUUACCAAGGCAUUGACGGGUAGCCGGCCUGAGAGGGUGACCGGCCACAUUGGGACUGAGAUACGGCCCAGACUCCUACGGGAGGCAGCAGUGGGGAAUAGUGCACAAUGGGCGGAAGCCGGAUGCAGCAACGCCGCGUGCGGGAUGACGGCCGUCGGGUUGUAACCCGCGUUCGCCUGUGAAGAAGAGUGAGUGACGGUAAUGGGUAAAGAAGCACCGGCUAACUACGUG